rnacentral:rRNA from 1 species
UACGUAGGCAGCAAGCGUUGUUCGGAUUUACUGGGCGUAAAGCGCACGUAGGCGGAUCGUUAAGUCGGGGGUGAAAUCCUGGAGCUCAACUCCAGAACUGCCUUCGAUACUGGCGAUCUCGAGUCCGGAAGAGGUGAGUGGAACUCCUAGUGUAGAGGUGGAAUUCGUAGAUAUUAGGAAGAACACCAGUGGCGAAGGCGGCUCACUGGUCCGGUACUGACGCUGAGGUGCGAAAGCGUGGGGAGCAAACAGG